rnacentral:siRNA from 1 species
UUUUUUCACCUACCUCCACUA